AGAGUUUGAUCCUGGCUCAGAUUGAACGCUGGCGGCAUGCUUUACACAUGCAAGUCGAACGGCAGCACAGGGAGCUUGCUCCCGGGUGGCGAGUGGCGAACGGGUGAGUAAUACAUCGGAACGUGUCCUAUUGUGGGGGAUAACUACUCGAAAGAGUAGCUAAUACCGCAUAAUACCUGAGGGUGAAAGCGGGGGCUCUUCGGACCUCGCGCAGUUGGAGCGGCCGAUGACUGAUUAGCUAGUUGGUGGGGUAAAGGCCUACCAAGGCGACGAUCAGUAGCUGGUCUGAGAGGACGACCAGCCACAUUGGGACUGAGACACGGCCCAAACUCCUACGGGAGGCAGCAGUGGGGAAUUUUGGACAAUGGGGGCAACCCUGAUCCAGCCAUGCCGCGUGCAGGAAGAAGGCCUUCGGGUUGUAAACUGCUUUUGUUAGGAACGAAACGGACUUUACUAAUAAUAAGGUCUAAUGACGGUACCUAAAGAAUAAGCACCGGCUAACUACGUGCCAGCAGCCGCGGUAAUACGUAGGGUGCGAGCGUUAAUCGGAAUUACUGGGCGUAAAGCGUGCGCAGGCGGCUUGAUAAGACAGAUGUGAAAUCCCCGAGCUCAACUUGGGAAUAGCAUUUGUGACUGUCAGGCUAGAGUAUGUCAGAGGGAGGUGGAAUUCCAAGUGUAGCAGUGAAAUGCGUAGAUAUUUGGAAGAACACCGAUGGCGAAGGCAGCCUCCUGGGAUAAUACUGACGCUCAUGCACGAAAGCGUGGGGAGCAAACAGGAUUAGAUACCCUGGUAGUCCACGCCCUAAACGAUGUCUACUAGUUGUUGGACCGCAUGGUUUAGUAACACAGCUAACGCGAGAAGUAGACCGCCUGGGGAGUACGGUCGCAAGAUUAAAACUCAAAGGAAUUGACGGGGACCC
rnacentral:rRNA from 1 species